rnacentral:lncRNA from 10 species
GUUGGUUAUAGCAAGAGAAUCUCUGGCCACCAGUUGGUCUGUUGCACGUAAACAGGAUGUGGGAAUGAGUCAAGGUGCAGGAGAGCCUGUCCUCUGUCCCUAAUGCAGUUCUUAGAUGCCUAAAUAAUGUGAAUUUUAAAGACAGAGACACUUUGCUUGCACAUUUUCUGGAAAGUGAGCAGGCAGCUCAGCCACCAGUGUUAGACUCAGGGACCUCCUCCAUCAGUUCCGUGGUAGAGAAUGGAGCACUUCCGAACCCCCCAGAGGAUUGGCUGCCCUGCGCUUCCUACACAGGUACGUGGCUGGAUUUGCUUUGCUCAAGUCUACAAAUCAAUUUAGAAGCACCCUAAUCCUCCCCGGGAUGACAAACAAGAAGAAGCAACACAGAACACCAGUGAGAAAACAGCCCUGAGGUCAGGAAACCAUGCUAAGUCUGCUACCAAUCAGUAACAUGAACUUGAAAAGUCACUUAAACUCUGUGGGCUUCAGUCUCCCCUGUGAAAUAGAUCAUUAAGUGAAGUUCUCCUUAGACGACAGACACCAGAAGACAAAGACAUUUACAGAGCCACCCUUGGGAGCCCAGUUGUCAUCUUGGCUCAGGAAGUCCCCACAUUCAUCUGCUAGGUGUAGAAGCCAUCCGGAGCUCUGCUGCGGGCCAUCUGGGACUAGAAAUUUGCCUGGAGUUUGUAAGCAGGAGCCCCUUCCAAGAGCAGAGAAAGCAUAGCCUGGGGCACGGGCCCUGUGGCUCCGGAGCACCUCUGGAAGGGACACACCCCAGGAAGACGCGCGGGGGCCCUCCUGGCCGCCUCUGGUAAGCCUUUCAGGCCUGUCUUCACCAGCGUGAAUUUGUCUCUUUCAAAGGGACGACAUUGAGGUCGGCAUGCCUACUGAGCAUUCCAUGUUUUCUGGAAAGUGAACGUACGGAAGCAGCUAACAGGACACAGACGUACGUGAGCAGAUUUAUCCUGCCUGCCUGCUGAGGAUGCCAUCGGCUGGAGGCUGAACUGCCAGCUUCACAGAUUUCCUAUAAGUUGCCCAUUAUUAAAUUUUAAUUACAUAGUUGAACUAAGAGCUUUAUGCUAAUAAAGACAAACUAGAAAUAAAACUUUCAAAAGGGACAAUUGUCCUAAUCUAUUUCACUUGGGUCUAGGGAGAUAGAUCAUUGUUUCA